CACGUAGGGGCCAAGCGUUGUCCGGAUUUAUUGGGCGUAAAGAGCUCGUAGGCGGUUGGGUAAGUCGGGUGUGAAAACUCCAGGCUCAACUUGGAGACGCCACCCGAUACUGCUCUGACUUGAGUUCGGUAGGGGAGUGGGGAAUUCCUGGUGUAGCGGUGAAAUGCGCAGAUAUCAGGAGGAACACCGGUGGCGAAGGCGCCACUCUGGGCCGAAACUGACGCUGAUUGUGCGAAAGCUAGGGGAGCGAACGGG
rnacentral:rRNA from 1 species